UACGAAGGGGGCUAGCGUUGUUCGGAAUUACUGGGCGUAAAGGGCGCGUAGGCGGCUCGACAAGUCAGAAGUGAAAUCCCUGGGCUCAACCCAGGAAUUGCUUUUGAGACUGCUGAGCUUGAGUACAGGAGAGGUGAGUGGAAUUCCCGGUGUAGAGGUAAAAUUCGUAGAUAUCGGGAGGAACACCAGUGGCGAAGGCGGCUCACUGGCCUGUAACUGACGCUGAGGCGCGAAAGCGUGGGGAGCAAACAGG
rnacentral:rRNA from 1 species